rnacentral:sRNA from 2 species
AGUAAGGGGCAAGCAAUCCGCUGAAGGCAGUAACGAAUACGCAUCCACCCGAAUCGGGCACCGUGGCGGCUUCGUCAUUGAUUUUUCUCGCAUCCCUGAAGAAGCCUAAGUUGUUCAUUAGAAAACUGACCCCACUUCCAGCAACAGCAAUGCUUCCUUCCAAAGCAUAUACAGGUGAUUCGCCUAAUUGAUAUCCAACUGUUGCAAGUAGACCAUGCUUAGAAAUUACCGGCGACUUGCCCACAUUAUAGAGGAGGAAGCAGCCAGUCCCGGGACCAUUCGCCAUUGACCCAAAUGCCGAUUCGUGAGCAGACACAACAAUUUUGGGGAGUUUUAUUUUCGACUGGUCAAUCUCAAAGAAGUUAAGCAAUGCCUCAUCAUAUUUAAGAGAAUGGAGGUUUAUGAACAUAGUUCUAGAGGCGUUGGUCACAUCUGUGACAAACACGUUACUCUUCUUCCCGCCGUUUAGAUUGUAGACGAGCCAAGUAUCAACAGUUCCGAAUGCUAACCGGCCGUCGUCGUAUGCCUUUUUCACAUCAGGGAUAUUGCGAAGGAGCCAAACCAGCUUGGUAG